GUGUUAGAGUUUGAUCAUGGCUCAGAUUGAACGCUGGCGGCAGGCCUAACACAUGCAAGUCGGACGGUAGCACAGAGGAGCUUGCUCCUCGGGUGACGAGUGGCGGACGGGUGAGUAAUGUCUGGGGAUCUGCCCGAUAGAGGGGGAUAACCACUGGAAACGGUGGCUAAUACCGCAUAACGUCGCAAGACCAAAGAGGGGGACCUUCGGGCCUCUCACUAUCAGAUGAACCCAGAUGGGUUAGCUAGUAGGCGGGGUAACGGCCCACCUAGGCGACGAUCCCUAGCUGGUCUGAGAGGAUGACCAGCCACACUGGAACUGAGACACGGUCCAGACUCCUACGGGAGGCAGCAGUGGGGAUAUUGCACAAUGGGCGCAAGCCUGAUGCAGCCAUGCCGCGUGUAUGAAGAAGGCCUUCGG
rnacentral:rRNA from 1 species